rnacentral:rRNA from 1 species
GUGGGGAAUAUUGGACAAUGGGGGGAACCCUGAUCCAGCCAUGCCGCGUGUGUGAAGAAGGCCUUUUGGUUGUAAAGCACUUUAAGCGAGGAGGAGGCUACCGAGAUUAAUACUCUUGGAUAGUGGACGUUACUCGCAGAAUAAGCACCGGCUAACUCUGUGCCAGCAGCCGCGGUAAUACAGAGGGUGCGAGCGUUAAUCGGAUUUACUGGGCGUAAAGCGUGCGUAGGCGGCUUUUUAAGUCGGAUGUGAAAUCCCCGAGCUUAACUUGGGAAUUGCAUUCGAUACUGGGAAGCUAGAGUAUGGGAGAGGAUGGUAGAAUUCCAGGUGUAGCGGUGAAAUGCGUAGAGAUCUGGAGGAAUACCGAUGGCGAAGGCAGCCAUCUGGCCUAAUACUGACGCUGAGGUACGAAAGCAUGGGGAGCAAACAGGAUUAGAUACACCGGUAGUCC